GAUAUAAAUGUAUUUGAAAAUAAGGAUAUACUGUAAAAAUUAAAAAUUAUGUUGUUGAGAGCUAAUUGACUGUUAUGAAAAUAGUAGAUGGUAAGUGGUAUAUGCUGAUUUUAGUAAGGAGUACACUAACACUAUCGCUAUAAAAGUAAGUUAGAGUAUAUUUGAAGUGAACCAUCUAUUGCUCAUAUCUUACUCCUGAUUUUUAUUUGGCCAAGUCAUACUUGUUUUUAGUCUCUUUAUUUAGGUAACUAUCCAUGUUCGACUCUUAUGGAAGGUACGGGUUAAAAGAAUUAUAUUUGAAGUUUAUCUAACUCUACGUUUUAAAGAAUGAUUAAAGAAAACUUGGGAAGAUUUUUUGCUCACAUUUGAAUUGUUAAUUAGGACUUAGGAUAAUAGUAUCCAACAAUUUUUUUUUUUAUUAACUAAAAAAUGCCCUUAUAAACAAUAUUGGACAACGCAACAAUCUUCCUAUUAUUAGCUGAAUUGGACAAAGUAAUCUUCACCCUAACGAAAAAUGCGCCAAUAGACAAAAAACACUUAUGCCCUCCUAAUCAAUGGUUCAACCCUGAUAUUAUUUGUAGUGCCGUCUUAUCUAAUGGAUAUAAGUGCUUAUUUAAUUCGUAAGCUCUUUUUAAUUUUUUUUUUAUUAUUGUGGGUAUUUUUUAGUCUCUAUUAGUAAAAACUCAAAAUUUGAGCUUUUGGGAGUAGAGGUUAAAAAGUUUUUUUAAAAUAUUAAAAUAUCUAAAAUAUACUUUCUUUAAUUUGUAAUCUUAUUUAAUUUCUUUAUAGCAUAACUUUAACUAACUUGCCUAUUAAAGUAAUUUUUUUUUGUGUAUUAAACUAUUUGGUAUCCGAAGACCACAUUUGUCCUCGACUAAUUUAGAUUCGAGCUGGAUAGGACCACUACAGCGGCAAAACUCUCCUAAAAGCUCUAAGGAAAUGAAAGCUAUAAUUUUAAUAAAAGCUCUCAUUGACAACUAGACAACUAUUUUUUUCGCAAAAGCUCUACUGAUAAAAGCUCUACUUAAAUAAGCUUUAUUUGAAAAGGUAUACCAAACGAAGCCUUAAUACCUAAAAAUAUCUAAUGUAAAACCACUAAUUAUUAGAUGGAAUGGCUCAUCUUUUUUUUUUCCCUAUCUUUCUUUUUAACCCAAAAGUUUCAAUUUUAUAAACUAGCGUAGGACACCUCAACACAUACAAUUUUUCUUUAAUAGAAAAAGGUGGAAUGUCUUACUUAUUGAAGACAUCGUGGAAUUAAGUGUGGAAGAUCAAUCAACCUAGAAGCACUAUUUUACACAUUUCACACAUGUAAAGUUAACUACACCACGGGGUUUAUUCAAUGUUGAAUGAAGGCAUCAUAAUUGAUUUAAUUAACUUAAUUACCUUCUUUUCAAACCAAGCCAACUAGGCUACCCUCUUCAGCGAUUAUGAACCAUUCCUUUGUCAUGCGUAAUAUGCAAAGAAUAAAAAAUGAUACACAUAUAAUUCAAUGUGGCACCGAACUAUAAAGCCAAUAAAUAUUGAAAGAAUAAAAAAUGGAACCCACAAGCGAUAGCUUUUACGAAACAAAACCCGUAGCAGGGGUGCAAGCUAAGAUCAAACAGAAUCCUUAGAAACUAAGGCAAAUGUGAAAGCAACAAACAGAGACAGAAACCGCGUCCGAGAACACAGAGUUCCCAUCGGUUCCUGUCCUGUUACAUAAAUUAUCCAAAAUGUAUAAUACGUAAAAAAAUGGAGAGAGAGUGAGCAAAAGUGUUCGAUGUUUAAGCCAACCAUUAUGAGGCCUUUGCCUCCUCUCGUUUAAUAUAAAAAGUUACACAGGGGAUGGCUAGCAGUGCCACUGUAAGCCAUGUUUGCUUAACGUCACAGAUAUUAAAUUAUUGCACGGUUUCUUGACCAUUUCUUUGUAGUUUUCCUCCCAUUUUUUUAAUUUUUUUUUCUAUUUUUUAUAUUUUAUUUUAUUAUCAUAAUAAAAUAUUGCCUCUUCCUAUACAGUGACCCAGCUUUCCAUGCAUACCUUCACAUGCACUUGCCAAGCCGAAACCCUAGCUUACUUGCUUGUCCAACCAUCACACCAUUUCUCAUUGUUCCUCUUUUUACCAUUUUGACCAAUUCUUUGAGUGUUUUUCCCAUAUACUUAAACUUGAUGUCUCUCAUUCUUCCUCUUGUAACUCCCUAGCUUAGCUUGUAACUCCAUUUACCUUGGAUAAUCGAGAAAAUGGUUCAUAAGUUCAUCAAUUUCAUGUGAUCAUCUUCGUGGUAAGUCGUGUGUGGAUUUUAUGACCAAAAAAGAACAUAAAUAAGGAAAAUUACUAGUCUAGUUAUAAGGAGAUCCAAUCAUAAAACUAAUAAUUCUUUUUAAAUAUUUGAAUGAAGAUGGGAAACUUCACCAACUAAUUAAUAGCAACCACUGUCCCAUACUUUUUACUCGAAUUCUGGUGAUUGCGGCACAAAGCACAUUUUUGUACAGUAUUGGUUAAAGUUUGUCAUUUAAAUAUGCAUGUAUUUAGGGUAAAUGUAAUCAAAUUACAUUUUAUUUUGUAGAGUAAUGAUAUAGUCAUAAGUUUGUACAAACUGAUGUGACGUUAAUUCAUUGGUUGAACUAAAUAUCUCUUGGCCCACAUGAUUUAUUUCUAUUAUUUUAUAUUUUCAUUCAACUAAUAAAUUAAUAUCGUAUCAGUUUGUAUAAGAUAAGUUUGUACAAGAAUUUGUGGUUGUAUCAUCACUCAUUUAUACAAGAAUAAAUUAAUCUUUAUUCUUUAGGGUUAUGUAUCAAUUUCCGGUUAGUCUUAAAUUUCGAAAAGGAAGAAUGAUAUUUUGGUCCAUCUUAGAGUUGGUUCUUAUCUUUUUGGUCUCUGGUAAAUUUUUAAUACUUCAUUUGAUCCUUGUUGUGAUGUUAAAAUAAUAUUAAAAAAUAUAUUGUUAAAUAAUAGAUCUGAUAUUUCAACAUUUUAACAAACAAAUUGACUAGUUACAAUUUUUAUAGGUCUCACAUAAUUAAUUUAUAUGUGAAAUUGUCUUUUUUUUUAACACCAGGGGUGAAAUUAGCAUUGGCAAUAAAAAUCUAUCAAUGACCAAAAAGAUAAAAACCAACUCUAACAGGGAUGAAAUGUCACCUCCAUACCGCUACAUUACUUGUGUUAGUGUUGAAUACUUUUUUUUUUUGGGUAAAAGCUCAUUUAGUCCCUAUAUUUUAAUAUUAGUAUCUAUUUAGUCACUAUAUUUUUUAAAAUACCUCGAAACAUCCCUGCCGUUAAAGUAUUGAUACCCCUACCGUUAAUUUUUAUUUCUUUAGUCUUACUUUUACAAUAUUGCCCUUUUAUAAUAAUUUUUUUGUUUGGACAUUAAAAAAAUUAAAUUACCAAUUUAACCCUAAAAUAAAAAAUUUGAUUAAUUUUUAAUUGUCAAAAAUUGUAUGUAAACUAUCAAGUGUGCAAAUGAUGCUUGCAAAAAAAUAAUAUAAUUUUUUUAAUUUUCUAGGGUAAANNNNNNNNNNNNNNNNNNNNNNNNNNNNNNNNNNNNNNNNNNNNNNNNNNNNNNNNNNNNNNNNNNNNNNNNNNNNNNNNNNNNNNNNNNNNNNNNNNNNAAUUAUAUAAAAGGGUAAUAUUGUAAAAGUAAGUCAAAGAAAUAAAAAGUAACGGUAGGGGUAUCAAUACUUUAACGGCAGGGAUGUUUCAAUACAUUUUAAAAAAAUAUAGGGACUAAAUGGAUAUUAAUUUUAAAAUAUAGGGACUAAAUGAACUUUUACCUUUUUUUUUUUCUUUUUAUGACGGGUGAUCAUUAACGUCUUUGCUGCUGUCAAUAAGAUUAAUCAAGCAGUUUAAUUUUCCUCAAAAAGUGAUGUUUAACAUAAAUAGAAGUAAUAACAUAAAUUUUUCGUAUCAUUUUGUAAAAUACAAGGAUUAAUAAGAAAUUGAUGUCUAAGGAAUAAAGAAUAUUUCACCUUUAUAUAUGCAUCAAUUCUGUAAGCAUCCAGACAUUAAGACAUGCAUGAAAGUAUUUAUGCGUGUAUUUGAAAUUUUAGGAUCUGAGAUGACAUUUUAUUUAAAAAAUUGAGUUGAAAAAUUAUUAAACCAAAAGUUUAAUGCAAUGGUUAAUUUAGUCCAUGAAUAGAGAUUUUUCAUAUUUUGAUUAAAAGACUACUUAAUUAAUGUAUUAAUCUCAUAGUUUAAAAUUAUGAUAGUCAAAAGCAUCAAUAAUGAUAAUCGUACAUAUAUUUUAAUUCACAGCUAUGAUUGUGAAGAAAAAAAAAAAAAAAAGACGUGGUAAAGGGAAAUUUCAUCUUAGAUGGUGAAAAGUGAAAACAACACAAGGAUGAUAUUGUAACUUCACAAAAGUACCAUUAUUCCCAUUAGGCCUUUAUAUAGCAACCGCCUAUAAGCAUUUUACUGUGGAUUCAUGUGCUUUUAACUUUUCUCCUAUAUUUUUAAACCUAGGUUUCAGCUUCAAAAAUAUUUUUCAUUUUUCGUUGAGCACAGUAAUGGAAGAUCAAAGCCAAGAAGCUAAUAAUAACAGUCCAAGUCAUGGCUCAGCUGAGAGAAGUACGGAACCAGUGAGGUCAAGAUGGACUCCAAAGCCUGAACAAAUUCUCAUACUUGAGUCCAUCUUCAAUAGUGGCAUGGUUAAUCCUCCUAAAGAUGAAACUGUGAGGAUAAGAAAGCUUCUUGAAAAAUUUGGUUCUGUUGGUGAUGCUAACGUUUUCUACUGGUUCCAAAACAGACGUUCAAGAUCUCGCCGCCGACAACGCCAGUUGCAAGCUAGCCUUGCUGGGGAACAAAGAAAUAAUAAUAUUCAUCAGGCACAAGCCUCUAGUGCAGCUGGUGCAAUUCAAUAUGAAAUUAAUAAUAAUUGUGCGGCUGCUGCUCUGCCUAUGGGGUUUGCUGCUACUUCUCCAGCUACCUUUGGUUCCACUCCAUGUACUAAUUUUGUUGCUGGCUCUUCUUCAUUUUGUGGAGUUAUGGGUGGUGAUGAUGGAGUUGAAACCCUAUAUUCAGUGUCUGGCCAAAUGGGUUUUCAAGAAGUAGUUGACCAGAACUCUAGUGUAACAUCAAUGUUAUGCCCAUCAGAAUCAUCAAAUUUGCAGUACCAAACUGGUAACCCAUAAUUAACAAUCAAUUGCAUGUCUCAUCUACCUAGUCCCUUUGAUUUAUUUAGUUAGGCACUAAAUUUCCUCGUAAUUAAUUUUGGGGUUUUUGUUGUAUAACAUAAUUUUUCAGGAUUUAUCACAGUUUUUAUCAAUGGUGCGCCAACAGAAAUUCCAAGGGGACCAAUUGACGUGAAAACUUUGUUUGGCCAAGAUGUAGUUUUGGUCCAUUCCUCUGGCGUGCCAAUACCAACAAAUGAAUUUGGGUUUCUAAUGCAGAGCUUGCAGCAUGGUGAAAGCUAUUUCCUGGUAAAAUAAUACAUCUUCAAAUUAAAGUUAACAUUUCAUAUGCACAGUCUCCAUUGGGCUUUUUUUUUGGGGGGGGGGGGGGGGGGGGGGGGGGGUCCCUUUUGGGUUUAAAUUUUUUUUUUUUUUGGGGGGGGGGGGAAAAAAUUUUUUUUUUAAAAAAAAGGGGUUUUUAAAAAGUUUUUAAAAAAAUUCCUUUCCCGGGAAAAAACCCCCCAAUAAANNNNNNNNNNNNNNNNNNNNNNNNNNNNNNNNNNNNNNNNNNNNNNNNNNNNNNNNNNNNNNNNNNNNNNNNNNNNNNNNNNNNNNNNNNNNNNNNNNNNCUAUGUCUUUUUUCCUCUACUCUCCGUCUGAGGAACAUCUCUUCUGUAAAAUAUAUAUCUUCAGAAACAAUUUUUUUUUUAUAGCCCAGCCCCCCCCACAUCACCCUGGAGAAAAACCAGAGGGGGGAUCCCUCCCGGGUUUGAAUUUUCUUUUUUUCUGGGGGGGGAGGUAAGUAAUUAUUAUUUGAUAAUAAGUGUGUUAUUAGUACUGUUAUCAUGAAAUUCCUUCUCAUGAUCAAAUCCAGCUAUAUAUAAUUAAUGGUACUUAUAUAUAAUUAAAAGUACUGUGAAUCGUACUUUAUUUUUUUAGCUUAUAUAAUCCGGGUAAUAAGAAAGGAAUUUUUGGAAUUCCAUGAAAUCUUUCUGUCUACAGUUUCACUCUUGAUCAUUAUAUGCUAUUUUAAUCAGUUCAAGAUUCCAAAAACUUAAAAAUUACUGAUGAUACAGUACUUAAGGCUCCACUAACAUAUUAAGUAGUACAGUUAUUAGGGUGUCAAAAUGCACAGUAAUAAAAAUUAAUAAUUUUUUAAUCUAAGAGAGUGAUCAUGGUUUCUCUCUUUCUUGUUCCUUUAUUUUCUUUCUUUUUCCUUUCUUUCUCCCUUUUUUGGGGCUGGCUGUGGGUUCAUGGAACCUGGCUAAAACAGCUGUGAAAUUUUGAUUACAGGUUUCAAGACCAGCAUAAACAGGAAUCAAAUCAAGGUGCAACAAAUGGGAGCUUCGUCCUCUUAUAUGUAGGAAUUCCAAAAAAAAAAAAAAACUAUUAGCUAUUGUGUUCUAUAUGUUCUUUCUUUUAUACUCAUCUGUUUCAAAGUUGUUUAAUAGGUUGCCCCCUUAUUACCUGAAUAUUGCAUAAUGUUAGGGAAACAAUGUAUUGGCUGUUUAGAACCAUUAGAGAGUAGUGAAUUUAUGAAAUUAAUAAUUAUAUUUAUGUCAUUAACUUGCCGUAGAUUUUAUGAUGUAUGAACUCCAGUUUUCAUUGGGAAAAAGUUUGUGUUUGAUUGGUCACGUUGGAUUAUGAUUUAAUUUAAUUGUUACUGGCUUAAUACAUUGUCUUGUAGAUUUAUAAGUGAUAUGAUACAUAUCUACAAAAUUGGAAUACGAAGUUUAAUCAAUGCGGCAGUCGAAUAUAGCUCCCGUUAAUUAGUAGACAAGUCCAAUGCGAGUACAAAUUUUGUAAUUCUGUACUCUUCAUCAAUAGCGUUGGAUCUAUAUAUAGCUUGGAGUUCCAUUUUUUAUGUUUGAGAAUCAGUUCAUAGCAGGAUGAACUUAACAUUUUAAUGUCUCAAUUGUUACACAGAAAGGCUAUAGAGUGAGAAGAAAUCACAGUGAUUCCAAAGAUUCAUGGAAGAAGAUCCACACUUACAUAUUUUCAUUUGAAGAUGCAUCUUGAGUUCACUAAUACUGGAAAAGGAAGCCAGGUCGUACAACAAAAAAUAAAAAGAAAAGCUAAAUAAAUAAGAGGAGCAGGGCAGAAACUUCAUGCAUCAAGCUCAAAUCAGCACACAAAAGCUGCUUUGUAUUCAAAAGCUAAUAAUAUACAAAUGGGAUUUUGCAUACCAAAAACAGUGUGAGGAUUUUAUCAUCAAAGGAAGGGGAAACUGCUAAAAAAUAAAAAGGGAAAAUUAUAUAGCCAUCGUAUAAACAGGUGCCUAGAAUACUUUUGAUCAUUUACCAGUAGUUGAUAUAAAAUAUGUGACAAUAAAGAGGUGACUAACCUUUUCAAUAACAUGAAAUGAACAAGGUCGUCGAACUUCUUUCAUCAAUCCUAUUUACUAUUUUUAAUCCUUAAUUAAGGUUGUCCAUUGUACAUUUUCUUCUUCUUUUACAAUGAAAAUGAGAAAAGAACCACAAAAAAAAGGGAAAGAAAUUACAAGAUAUGUGAAAAGUCUCCGUGUCCUAAAAUAAAUAUAAUUUUUUUUUCGUAACGUAUCUUAUAAUAAACAUGGUUAUCACGUGAUAUUAUCUCACUGACCUAAUAUUACGCCAACUCCUUUCCUGAAUAGAUACGUAAUUGUGUCGCAUAUACAUAUAUAUUCAGACAAAGAAUUGCAUUAUUUAUGUACUUUGUCUGUCUUAAUAAUGUGAGAUUUUCUCAGUCCUCAUGAAACAAUGUAAAGUGUCUAAAUUUUAAAAACUGAAAAAUAAAAACGANNNNNNNNNNNNNNNNNNNNNNNNNNNNNNNNNNNNNNNNNNNNNNNNNNNNNNNNNNNNNNNNNNNNNNNNNNNNNNNNNNNNNNNNNNNNNNNNNNNNCCAAUUCUUCACAAAUAUGGGAAUAGUUUAUCUCUCAAUUGUACUAUCCUUUCAUCAAUGUGGAUAAAGCACCUUUAGCACAUUAGAGCUUAUGUUUUAUUUAUUUAUUUAUUUUUGCAUUUUAGCUUCCUCCAUAUUUUAUUAGAGUGAGAUAGUCUUUAUGUCACAAAACAAAUAUAUUCUUUUUAACUUGUAUAACGUAACUCGCCCUCUAAUGAGUUAUCUGCUCACGUGAUAUUAUAUCAAUUCAAUAAUGCUUUAAUUCUAUUAACAAAAUGUUACAUGAUUGCAUCAUAUAUAUGAAUAUACUCAUGUAGUGAACCUUAUUCUUAAAAAAAGAAAAAGAAAGUGAAUUUACUAAAACAAUUCAAAAACUUUGAAGUAAAUAUACAUCUAAUAACACUAAAUUUACAAAGUUUCCUCAAAUUAAAUUUGCAAGAUUGAAAAAAGAAAUUGUAAUAUGUAUGAAAAUUCUUGGUGUCACAAAAUUAGUGUGCGUGUGUGUUUAUACAUCGUUUGUGUAAAUAACUCGCCUAAUGUUUAAGUGAUAUUAUCACUGAAUAUCCUAAUGUUAAUCGAAAACCACUUUAUCUCUUUUCAAGAAAUGUUACAUGAUUGCCACCGAAAGAAGUUAAUUUAUAUAUGCAAUUCAAAAAUUUUGAAGUGUAAUAUCUGAAGAAAAAACGUUAAAACUAGAGAUACAAAUUCUUUAUAGAGUUAACAAUAAGAAUAUCAGAAUAAAAAACAAAGUGCCAAGUCAAAGAAAAUCUUGCACUUAUAUUCUUGCAAAUCUUGAUGCGGUUGUCAUCAAUGUCAUAUAAAAAACUCGUUACUAGUGAAGUGACAACGGACACAGGAUUAAUUUCCUGGAAAGAAUCCCAGAUACAGUUGUGUCCUGUGCAGGGUAUUAAAUUUUUAUACAAAUUGGGUGCAGGGCCGGUACUUGGAUUCCCCAUUGAAUGGAAGUAUCGAAAAUCCAUGAAAUGAAAUUAAAUCGCCAACUUGGGGCUUCAACACCGACCGAUAUAACCAAUCCAAUGCAGACGGAUGUUUGUUCAGAGAUUUCUUUAUUUUAUUCUCUAAACAUUAGGGCACAACUACUAAGAAAUAACAUGUGAAAAUCAAAGAUUAAUUACAACUUCUAUUGGCUGCCAUGUGAACCAAUAUAAUGAUUUUACUCCACGGUGUAAUUUCUAGGUGAUUAAAAAUUGAGGCUUGUAAGUUUUUACAUAGAUUCUGCAAUUGUUUUGACCAGGAAACAAAUCAGUCAACCUACAAUGGGAAUCCAAUAUGUGAAUAAUUGCUCAGUAUUAAUUUAUUUGAGCUCAUGAUUUGAAAGGAACAAAUGGUUCAUUUUUUCACAAAUCCAGCACGGUUUUUCUAGAUUAUUGUCAAGAUUACUUACAACUCCGUUUAAAAACACAGGCUUGAAUCUUGCAUUUAUGGGCGUGCCAUAUAACCCCUUUUUUAAUUAAAAAAAUUUAUUGACCUAUUGUUGUUUUCUCUUCUUUAUUGAUACACUGGAUAUUCAUUUUUACAGUAUGACAUGAUGAUAUUGAAGACGACAACUCUUCACACGGUUAACAAAUACCGUAAGUUAGGGAACUUAAUACCAUAAAGUAUUAAACAUAUACAUAUAUAUGGACACACCUUAAAGGUAAUUCGGAAUUACCAAGUUAAAAUCAAGUUGACUUUGUGGAAUAACAAAAUUAUUGGAUUCUCAUCUCUGGCCUAAUUAAACGUUCUUAUGAUUUAACUUAAUAAUAAUUAUUUACCUGCAAACCCAUUUGAUUCUGAUUUUGGUUUUUCUACCCAUAAAAGUUUGAAUAAAUCUGAAUGAGAUCUUCUUAAAAUUAAUAAAUUACUAACUUUAAAUUGUUUGCAUAUAUUUUAUUUUAUUUUAUUUAUUUUUUUAGGUUUGGAAUGGAAGUAAGAAAUUUUACCCGUUAAAUAUCAAUUUUUAUCUUUUAUUAUUAUUCGAAUUCGGAUGAUUGCAAAUGCAAAAGUCAUUAACAAUUAGUGGACAGGGUAUGUAUUGUUUAUAUACGUGAUCUUAUUUAACUUGUCCCGAAUAAAUGAAAUUCGAGCCACUCCAAGUAUCUCAAGUGCUAACUUCAAAGAUUGCCCCGUACAUUUAUUUGAAUUGGAAUAUUGAUUUGUUUCGGGAUAUAACCUAAGCUUACAGUUAUUUGAAUAUAAUGGUAGUGAAAUAGUUAAUAUUGGCCUUUCCAUUUAAUCACCACAUCUUUUGAAAUUUUCACUUGAGAUCGAAUCAAGUGUGCGAUUUAGAAUUGGUAGAAAAAAAAAAAGUAAAUAUUGCAUCGCAGUUUAAUAACCGCAUGUCAUUUUUUUCAAUUUGAAUCCAAAUAAUCUUAAAACUAAUAUGGAGCAGUAGUAUUAUUGAGAUGCAUUAUUAACUUCUAAUAACACUUAUGACGUCAAUAGGUGACAACAAUUAAUGUUUUGGGCCUGGUGUAUUUCACAAUUCUUUUGUAAUGGGUAAAAUGUUGGGCUAGCCUGCAAGUGUACAUUUAUGGGCUUUGGCCUAUUAUUGGGCAUAUUUAAGAAGGUUGGAGGUAAUGGCACAACCGAAAAACUCUCUUAAAAUAUGAGGGAUGGCAAAUCCUGCUAAGAGAUCUCCCUUAUGGAAUAAAUUUUAAAUAAUUUUUGGAGAAUGAGAAAAAAAUAACUCUAAAAUUUUUAAUUGAGUGGGGUUUAAUUUUGUACUCCCACUUAGGGAUGGCAACCAAACUCGGACCCGGAUCGGACCCGGAUUGAACCCGGAAAAUCCGGUCCGGGUUCAACCCGCACCGGCAUAGUUGUUAUCCGAAAUCCGGAUCAGUUUUUGAAAACCCGUAUUUUUCCGAUCCGGAUCCGGUUUUAGGUGAACCCGCAAAUCCGGAACCCGGACCCGGAUAUUAUUUAUUUUAAUAUUAUUUUUAUCCGUAAAUCCGUAAAUAUAAAUAGAAAAAUAAAAAAAAAACAAAACAAAAGUGAACCCUAGAUCUCUCUCGUUAGUCGUUCCUCUGAUCCUCUCUCAAAAUUUCUCCUUCAAUCUAAAAAAAAUUACUGUAAAUAUGUAAUUUCUCCUCUCACGAGACAAGUGAAAUCUGUAAUUUUGUAAAGCAAAUGAAAUCUUCCCACCAGACAAGUUGGCCCUCUCUAUUCCUACGCUCUGGUUUUGAAUGAUUCAUUAUCACUUGCACUCACUCAUUUUCCUCAGUAAAUGAGUGAAUGAUUCAGGCUUUCGAACGGAAAACACAGGCCGUGUUCCAGACUUUAGAAUAGCAACACCAGCAAGAAUGGAUCCAGUACAACCGCAUCUUGAUCGUUUGCAGAGUACUGUGCCGAGCAACACGUCUGUGCAAAGUUGGGAGGAUCAACAACUGAACGAGUCCCUUGCUAUUAAUGUCAGGGUCCACUGUUUAGCAUUGCAACAGCAUACCAUGAUGAAGCAGGCACAACAGCAGCAGCAGUCAUCGAUGGGAUUUUUAGAACAGCGAGUCCAGCAACAGCAGCAAGCCGUGAUUGGGUCAUUACAACUGCUACAGAAGCAGGCACAACAGCAGCAGCAGGCGGUGAUGGGAUAUUUACAACAAAUUACUUUUUUAAAAAAAAAUAAAUAAAGCAAUCCGGGUUCAAAACCCAGAAUCCGGAAACCCGGAUUUUUCCGGGUUGAACCCGGACCGGACCCGGAUUUUAAAAACCCGGGUUUAAUACGGGUCCGGUUAUGAGAAUUUUGUAUCCGGGUCCGGAUCCGGAACAGCCAAACCCGGACCCGGACCCGGAAAUUGCCAUCCCUACUCCCACCUCACUCUCACUCCAAUCUCUGUUAUAUAUAUAAAUAUUUAUUUAAUUUUUAUUCAAUAAUUUUUGUUUUAUCAAUUACAAUGUUCGUUAAUAAAUUUUCUUUAUAAUUUUUACUUAAUAUAAAUAAGCUACAACUAAAAGAAAAUCCUACAAUAUAAUUAUCAUUCAACCUUAAAAUAUUGUUAUGUUUUCUGUUCUCUCAUAAGUUGCUGCUCUCUUCAAACAUUGUUAAGUUUUAAUAUCAUUUUGAGAUAUUGUUUUAAACUUUUGGAUAUGUUUUAAAAUAAUUUAAAUACGUUAUAAUAUGAUGAUUUUAAUUAAGUCUCCAAUUUUUAAUUUAUUGAAAUUAUUUAUUUAUAACUAUUAUAAAAUAAGUAAGUGGAGAAUGGGGUGAGGACCAGAAAAUCAUUCCCCAUGCACAUAGGGAUUCCUCACCCCACUAAAUUUAGUGGGAAAUGCAGUAGAGAACGGAAGCAAAAUUUUUAAUGGAGAUAGGCCUCCCCCCCCCCCCCCCAAUUGUCAUUCCUAAUUUAUAUAUUCUUAAUUAAAAUGACCUAAAAGUACAAACAUAAAUCUAAUUAAGUAAUAAAUUUAUUUUUGGUUAUACUUACUCUUCAUCCUUCACACCCCAUCAAUUUACAUUAUAUUGGCAUUUUUUUCCACUUAAAUUUAAACAUUUUUUAUGCAUAUUCAGUAUUGCAAACUCAUUGAUGAACAUUCAUUAGGGCUUAAUGAGUUUUUUUUCUUCUUCUUUUAAGAUUUGAUAUCAACUACCUGCAUGUUUUUCUUUUUACUUCAAAAUUAUUUUUAUUUUUUUAAAAGAACUAAAAACAAAUCUAGCCGAUAUAAAACAGAAAUUAAGCAGUUGAUAACGUCGGUGUGAAGAGAAAAAAAAAUGGUUAAAUUUUAUUGAUGUUAUAUUCGUGCGUUUAUGUAACUCUACAAAAUUACCAUCAAUAUAUUCAAAUCAACUAAUCAUCAAAUAAUAAAUACUUGGUAAGAAUUUAAUAGAAGUAGUGUAUAUGUCAAGUAAGUACUAUUUAUGACAUCAACCUUUUCCUAAGCACUCCAGACUUAUUUUAUUUCAUUUAAAUUUAGUUGGUAAUAAUUUUUGGAGUUGCCGACAGUACAUGGGAUGCUGAUGACUUUAAACUUGUUUUUACGCUGGUAAAAAGAAAAAGUAAAAGAAAGGUAAGAAAAGAUAAUUUGCAUGAAGCAAUGAACCAUGUUUGGAAUUAAAGUUACUUGAAGCACUUUCACGAAUAGAUUAAAUUUAAUUAGGGACAAAUGGUGCAAUCUACUCCGGCACCAAAAAAGAUCCGAUUCAUUUUCUAAUUGCCACUCCCACCCUAUGCAUGCUUCUCAAUGAUUUUAGUAGUCAUCAGAAAAAUUUUAAACACUAAGGAUAUGGUCAUAAGGGUGUGUUUGGCACAUCAAAUCAUAUGAAAUUGCAUUAGUCAAUGUAAUGCAAUCCUAUGUUUAGUAAAUCUUUCAGCUCACAUUAUGAUAUAUUGUAAUAUAUCAUAAUGUAAACAUUUUUACAUUACACAAACCUGAAUCGGAUUUGUUUAAUAUGGUAUUCAUAUUAAAAAAUUUAAAAAUAAAUAAAUAAAAACUAAAUAAAAGCAAAUAGUAUUAAAUAAAAUUAAAAACUCAAAUAUGUUGGCACUGGUGCUGAUGAAAUUGCGGACGACAAUUCGAUGGUGGCCGGCCACUGCAUAACGUCAUGUUUUGCACUAAAAUCUAAUACCAUUAGAAUCCUUAUUUGUAGAGGCUAUGCAAUGGUGCAAUUAUUUAUGGAAAAAAAAGUUUUUGUUUGCCGUAAAUUUACAGUCAAAAUUUAAAAAAUGGAGACUUUGCCAUAGAUUUAUAGAGACUGAAAAUUUCCUUACUAGUAAUAGUUGCAUCAUUCCAUAUCCCCAUCUAUUGGCACCAAAAUAUACCUCAAAUGGCACUAAAGUAUGGCGGCUUGUGGUGGCCGGAGGUAAAAAUUAUUUAAUUUAAUUAUAAAAAUUUAAAUAAAUAAUAAAAUAUAAAUGAAUAUUUAAUUAUUAAUUUAAUAUAAAUAUUAAAACAAAAAAUAUUAGUUUAUAUAAUACAGUUUAUACUUCACCAAACAUAAUAUUGUAUUUUAAUUUAAUACGAGAUACCGCAAUACAAUCUAUAUACAAUACAAUACGGACCAGGAUCCGGUGCUCAGCACAAACUCAGCUGAGCACCGGAUCUGUUUCCAUACAAUACAAUGUGUACACAAUCAAGCAUAAUUAUUGCUAUUUCCCAGCAUAAUAAGUUAAUAACGCGAAAGUAAAGGCUGAGCCACAAUUGAUCUUUUACGAACUUUACUUUGUCUGUGGUUUGUGUAAUAUAUAAAAGAUAUAAAAGUGGUAAUUACUAUUAUUUAAACGUGGAUGUGUUCUAAUGAGCACCACUGUCAUUUUAUAAUUUAAGUAUAAUCGUAUAUGUUCUGUGUCGACACGUCAUCAUUAGGUUUUAAACCCUACGUCCAUACUGUAACAUGAUGUAAUACAGUAAUAGUAUUAUCACCUGUAAUGCCCCCAACUGAAUCAAGUUUUUCUCAAAUAAGAUUUCUUAAUUUUUUUUUUCUUUUAAUGCGACUUAUUUAUGAAUGAUCAUAAGAUAAGUCAAGUCAGUCACCAAGUCAAAAUUAACCUUGGUUUAAUGCAACUUAGAUGAACCAGUUGGAGAAUUCAUAAUUACGUACAUACAUCAAUCUUUUUUUUUUUUAAUCUUAAACAGUAAUCAUAGUUUAAAACUUACCCUGCUACCUUUUUCUUCCUUUUGGAGGAGGCUAGGUUGUUCAUCAAGGCGUUCGUUCCGGCUAAUUAUUCAUAACUUCUCCUAUUUAUGUCAAGAUUACUGAGUAACCAUCAUCAACCUUCAAAGGCUAGCUACACCUAUUGUGAAUUUUGAUGGUAACUUUUUGACAAAUUAAUUACAUGCUACUUUUACCCUUGAUUUGAGGAACUCGUAAUGUUUUGAUUUUAGAAGAUAAAAUACAAUUAACGUGGAGCAUGAUGCCAUGAUUUUCUCUUGACUUCAGCUUCUCUUGGGCAAAAUACAAACCGGUAAUUGAAAGCUAUUAGAUAAAAAAUAUAAAAACAAUUAAAUAUUAACCGCACAAUUACUCGCACAUGAUUUUUAAAAAAAUCAAGGGACUAGUUUAUUUAUAAAUUUGUAUGUACCAGUAAAUUAUAUAUCAAGUUUAGUUGGGAAAAACCUCUUGUAGUAUCUAUGAAGUCUAGGUUUUCAAUAUGUUGGUGCUUAUCAAGACUUAUAAUAUUGGUUUAAAAAGUUUUUGUUGCUCUUGAAAUAGUGUUCUUUAUCCAUUCACUUUUUUUCUAUAUGUGUAUAAAUAUUAUUGGGCUUGAUUGAAAAUAAUAUAUAGCAAUGAAUAAAUAGAUAAUGAGCCUCCAAGUCAAGAUUUUUCCUAGUAAAUAUUCUUUUAAUGAAUUCUUGGCAAGACCUAAACUCAAAUACAUGUAUUUAAUUUUUUUUUUUAAAAAAAAUCAUUGCAUAUUUGUUAAUUCCGAACAUAUUACAUGUGUACUAAUAAUCACAUACAAGAACAUCAAAAUUCACUUUACAAGAUUCAGUACUAGAUUGUGUUUCAAUUGUUUAUACGAUCAUCCCAUAUCGGCACAUCACUUGCUAUCUACCAUAAUCUGCUACGUACACGAUUUACUUCAAGAUUAAUUAGUAUUAUAAAAUAAAGGAAGAUGGAUACAACGAAUUCAUUGUAGUAUCCACCUAUAUCGCCCUGUAAGAGAAGAUGAAACAUUUAAUUACAUACUUAAUUAGAACCAUAUCAUAAUAUACAUGUUAUGACAAUUUAUGAGGCAAAUAUACAAAUUAGAUACGUUUCUCUUACUCGAUACUCUCCGUUAUUGCAAUUUUUUGUCUGUUCCCACCGCCUCCGUCAUUGUCUAAGAGCCCAUUCAACUUUUCUUUUUCUCGGGAACAGAAAGUGUAAUUUUUUUUUUAAAAAAAGUUACUUUAUUUUUCUAUUUAUUUUCUGAAAAUUGAUCGCACAACGACCAUACAUGGAGAGAACUAUAAGGUCACAUUUAUAAGGUACUGUUAAAAAGGACUCAUGCAAAAAUUUUGUAGACCCCAUUGAAAAUAUGGCAUCAGGUGGCUUUGCGACUGUAGUGAUGGGCAUAUUGAUUGAUAUUAUAAUAGAAGAAAUUGAUUAAAGGCAAAGAAAGAAACACACUUAUAACAUGGUCAAAAAAAGUGUACCAAACAGCAUUGAAAAGUCAUGAAAGAUGGGCAGGCAGUUUCAUUUAUGAGUCAGAAAGUCACAGGAGAAACAACUUUGGCUUUGCAUUAACAUGAUAUUAGCAUAGCAAUAGCAUCAUCAACAUUCAACAUGCUGCAGAAAAUUGACAUAAAAUUUGCAGAGAAUAACAAAGCCUGCUAGCUAGCUUGGAUAAGUCCAAAACUACUACAAGUUUCAGAGAAUUAUUAUAUAACUUGUAACAACUACUCAUCUCUCUCUCUAUUUUUUUAACCUUUUCUACUGUUACUCUCUUUUGCCAUUUAUGGAACUAACUGCACUGAUACUACUGUACAUUAAAGACUGUAGAGAUAAGACCUACUACUGCAGACUUGGACUCAACUCAUUGGUUGCUUGCUUCUCUUUCACUGGCUGAUUGAUUUUCUGAAUUUUUGAUUUUUUCUAAUACCCAAAACUUUUCUUAAGCAGCUCCAACUCCAAGGAAAUCAAUGAAGGGCAUGUUGAUCUUCUCAUAGCUAGUCUCAUUUUCCCCAUACAUAGAGAGAUUGACCUUGUUGUUGUUGGAGUUGUUGUUGCCUACUGACUCAUUUGCUGAGACUUCUGAAUUUGAAUCUGUCUGGCCAGACUGGUCCACAUUCAUAACCACUCCUCCAAUAGGCCCAGCUUGAUAAAACUCAUAGCCUGUGUCAUAAAUUUUGUCAACAUCUCCACUUCCCUUCGUAAUCUCCUUUUCUUCAGAUGAUGAACGACCUUUUUAAUUUUUAUCAAACCCAAAAACUCAAUAAACAAUAAUCUAAUUAAAAAGUACAAGAAAAUGAAAGAGAACUGAAAAUACAACACAUACCCAUUAGAGAAAACUUAGUGAAGUAUCCUGGAGACACUUUAGCUGAAGAGGGAGUGAGUGAAAGAUCAGUGAUUGUUGAAGCAGAUUCAUUGUUGCUUGAGAUAGUUGAUUCAUCACUGCUAGCAUUAGCAUUAUUGAUAUUAAUAUUGUUGUUUUGGAAAGGACCAGAAGAGGGCUUUCUCCUCCUAUAAAUGCUGGAUUGCUCUCUGUGUUUCCUAGCCAUGAUCACAUGCCAAUGAUUCUUGACAGCAUUAUCAGUUCUUCCCGGGAACAGUCUGGCAAUCAUGGCCCAUUUGUUACCGUACAACCUAUGAGCAGCUAACAGCCUCUCUUCUUCUUCUUCACUGAAAGCCCUCCUGUUGAUUCUUGGAUCCAGCUGAUUAAACCAUCUCAAUCUGCAACUCUUCCCUGGAAACAAAUAAUUAAACAAAGUCAACAACAGUCAAAAUACCCCUAAGAAAAGUCAUUUUUUUCCCUUGAAAAAAAAAAAGAAGAAACGGUAUUUUCUUCUUAUUUUGUUUGGAUUUUAAAUAUAUUACCUGAUCUUCCUUCAAGAUUCUCAGCGAUCAAGUUCCAAUUUUGAGGACCAUAUUGAGCAACCAGCUCUUUAAGCUUGGCAUCUUCCGCUGGCCUCCAAUGGCCUCUAGCACAGAGCUUAGUGUGGCCAUUUUUUCCAGAAACAGGGCGCUUGAUAACAUCCUCAACUUCCUCGCCCAAAUCCAAAGACAGCCCCUUAUUUUUAUGAACACCAAAGACCCCAUCUCUCUCCUCAACACAGAUUCUCCUAGCUUCCCAUGGUUUCUUAUUUAUCUCCAUAGGACAAGGGCUCAAGAUCUGAAACCCAGUUUCAGGAUUUUUAGUCCCAAAAGUGUUUGACAGAGAAAGAUGAGAAGAAGGAGCGAUAAAGUUCAUCCCUUGAUGAACUCCAUUGAAAACAUUGCCAUCGCCACCACCCUUCAGAAUUUGAAGACUCAUUGUUUCCAAGAGAACCCAAAUGGGGCUUGAGCACAAACAAGAAAUGCCCCCAAAGAGAACACACACAAAAACAAAAGGAAAAUAAAAACUUUCAAAAGAAGAGAAGAAGCCACAAGAUUCUUUGAGACUUGGGAGAGAUGGACAGAAGAUAAGGAGAUCUCUAAAUGCUAAUUGUUGGUUCUUCUUAUGCUAACUUGCUUUUACCAAAGCAAAUAGUAACAGGCUCUGUUGUGCAUGGAAAUCGAGAACCGCUCGUGUGGGUGGGGUGUGGUGGAGGUGCGUGUAAGCGCUUCUUGGGUUCUGGGAGAAAACCAGAAGCACUUUUGUCUCUUUGUGGAAAGGCUUUUGCUUUUUUCAAAGGAAAACGGAAACUCAAAUGACCCUCAGUCUCGACUCUAUACUCUCAACCAAUGUCCCACACCACUUGUCUCUCUGCUCUGUUUACUCUCUUAUCGAACAUACGCACCCCCCUCUAUUUAAAUACUUUGUUUUCUCUUCUUUUUAAUUAUUUUAUUCUUUCUUGUUAUGAUUUUUUUAAUGAUAGAUUCUGUUAAUCCAUUCGGUUUUGGUUGAUGUAGGAAUGAGCUUUGUUUUUUAAAUUACCCAAAACAUAGAUUUAAACUAUGCUGGUGCUUGAUUAUUAUUAUUAUAUAAUAUUUAUGUGUUUGGAUGCAAUAACGGUAUACUACUUAGUUUGUAAUGAUAUUAUGCGAGUAGCUUUUAAUUAACUUUUAAAUAGUUCGUUUAAUUCGAGAAGAGUCUUAGGAGAUAGCUGAGAGCAUAUUUACUUGUCAUCAUUUAUGAUGCAUUUAUAUCGAUUUCAAAAAUUUAAGUGUGUAUGUGGUGAAAUGUAAUUGAGUGGUGGUGUGAUGAUAUAAUAUUUAAAUAUUUAUCAUAAAUUUGAGAUAAUUUUAAAUUUAUAGUGGAUAAAUAACGAGCCGAUUGCACGAUUGUACUGUAAUAUGAUAUAAUUAGGGCCAGUUUGGUAAUAUUAUACAUUUUAAAAUAACUGUUGGUACCUAUACAGUAAUAAUAAUGAACUGUAAAAAAAAUCAGUUAAAUAUUUACUAAAAUUUAUUUUUAAAAGUAUUAUAAGUUUUAAAAUCAGCUUGUGUAUUUGGUAAAUCUUAUUAUUAAAUUAUUGUAAUAAUGUAAACUACCAAAUUGGAAAUAAUGUUAAUUAAAAUUUAUUUACACAUUUUUGAACAUGUAUAUAAAAUAUAUUUUUUUUGUAUAUGUAUAAUAAUAUAUAAGCAAAAUAAAUAUUUUAUAUUAUCAAUUUUAUUUUUUAUCUCAAUAUAAUUGGUAAUAAUAAUAAUCUCUUUAAAUUUAAUUAUGUUUUCAUUUCUUGAUUAAUUAGGAUAAUUUUAGAUUCAUAUAGUAGACACAAGGAUAUAUAUGAAAUUAUAUAAAAUAUAAAACUGAUUCUCAAAAUCAAAUUUUAAAAAGCUACUAAUUCCUUAUUUUUUAAAGAGAUAUUAUCAUUUUCCCACCAAAGUUACUCUAACACAUCAUGUCAUUACCACGGUUUGGUAAAAACAUCAUUUUACCACUAAACGUUUAAAUUGUUAGCAUUUUCCUACCAUUCCAUUAAAACUCAGUUAAUAUUUAACGGAAAAUGCAUAAAAAGUUAAUUUUACCCAUGGAGCGUAAAAGACUAUUUUACCCUUUAAGAGGGAAGAACAACAAAAGACGAUUUAAUUACAAAAUUACCCUCAAAAGACGACAAGACGAUUUUACCCUUUAAAAAGAAAGAACAACAAAAGACGAUUUAAUUACAAAAUUACCCCCAAAAGACGACACUGUUGCGAGAGUGAGAGAGAUAUGGGUCAGUGACAGACUGACAGUGAGCGAGAAAGGGCGGGGAUGGAACAAGAAACAAGAGAGAGGGGGGUUGAUUUCGAUUUCUAUGGCUUCCAUGUCCAAAUUGCUUGUUUUUUUACAAUUGCAAAACGCAACGUUUUGGCUUCGCGUGAGAUAUCCAAAAUGCCCUUAUGAUGUCAGCAUAAUUUUUAUUUAGUUAACGGAAUGGUGGGAAAAUGCUAACAGUUUAAACAUUUUGUGGUAAAUAUCUUUGGUAGGAAAAUGAUAAUAUCUCUUUUUUAAAAUAUGUUAUAAGAUAAGGUAAUUUUACCAAAAGUGAUUUAAAAAAUUAAUCAAACACUAAAAUUAACUUUUAACUUACAAAAUCACUUUUGAACUUUCAAAAAGUAAUCCUAAACGAGCCGUUAGUCUGACUUAAGACUUUCUAAUUUAUAUGUGAGAUUAUCUAUUAUUCCAAAAUUCUUAAGUUUUCAUUAAGACCAACAAAGUAAGAGACUUGAAGGUCUUCAAAAUCUAAAACAAAAAUUUAUUGGAUAUAAAUUGUAGAAAGAAAAUAAUAAUUAUUCUUCAAUAGCAUUUAUUAUUACUGUUUUUCCUACAUUAUUACUCAUGGUUUGGAUGACAAGAAGUCGGUCUGUAGUGGAGUUCUAAAAAGAAUUGAAAACAAAACAAAACAAAAUAAAACAAGGAAUAUACAAAAAAUGUGCAUAGCAUGCAUAAUAGGUGCAUAAAAAAUCAAAUUCAGUGACAUAUUACCAAACUUUACCGCACUAGAUCUAUUUCAUAAGUUAAUUAAGUCAAAUAAUUUUUUAGAAGAAGUAAUUUUUUUUUUUGUAGAGAAACGUUUUUCCAUUUGUGAGAUGAAAUUGCAUGCACAUGAAAAAGGUAAGAGCACGUAUGCGACAAAGCAUUUGGCACAUGAAAGUGCUGCAAGAUUUAUAGUAUGAAAACUUUUAAUCAUGUCUUCCACUUAGCUCAUCACUACCAAUAAAAUUAUAAAAGAAACAUAAUCUGAACGAACUUAUGCUAUAAAUAUACAAAAAGAAUGGCCCAUUAUAUCUCAGCAUCUAACAUAUCCAUAAAAUCAAGUGCUUAAUUAGUUUUCGACAAUCAAAUAGGAUUCUAAUUAUAUAUUAAAAAAUAAACUAUGUAGUGACUCACUCGAGUGCUCUCUCUUUUUACUAACUUUUGAUUGAUAUUUUUAGGCAGCUUAUUAUGAUAAGGUGUUCUGUUAGCUAAAAAUAUACAUAAAAAACUAAUAGUUAUUCUCUUCUUUUGCCUUAGUCUUUUUUGACUACUGAAUUGUCCCACUUUUAUACCAUUCAUUUUUUUUAAACCAAUCAAAAAGCACUAUUUGAACACUUGGAUAAUCUUUAAACGUACAACUACAAUAUACAGUUUAUAUAAAGUUGUCACCGGGAAAUGGUUCUUGUUAUUAAUUUAUUAUUAUUUGUUUAUGUAUGCUUCUGAUAUUCAUAUUAUUAACUACGUACAAAAAAAAUUGACAAUAUUAAUAUCAUUAACUACGAAACUAUUUCACAAUUAGGCUUUAGUCAAUAUCCAAAAGAUAGUGUCACAUUAUAUAGAACAUUUAUUAUAACAUAAACUUUGUAUUUAAACUUUAUAAUUACAGCUUGUAAAUAAAUCAAAUUGUUACGAUUGUUAUCAGAUUGCAUCAAAGUGUUACGUUAUAUGAAACAAUGGUUAGAACUGUAAAUUUUAUACCUUAAUUUUAUUAGCGAAAUGUAGAUUGUCACACUUGGCACUGGAUUAAAUUAAGGAGGAGAAGGAAGGAAAGCUUGAGGACCUAAAAUGGAUUCAUGGUUUGUGGUCAUGGGUUAUUAGAAAUGGAAACAACCGUUACUCACAAGAAAAAUGCCCUAGACAAAUGGGAUUAUGUUAUGUUAUGAGCAAAAGCAACAUAAGUGUGAGUUGAAAAUUGACCAAAACUUAAUUAAAUCAUCCAAAGCAAAAUGUGUAAUGAUGAGGGGUUUGGGUUUUGCUUGUUUGAGUGUUGAAGAGAUCAUUAUUGCGGCUCUUCUGGGAGACAGCGAAAGCAUUUGCUUCCUAAUUCGAGCUUUUUAUUACUAUUACUAUUAUUUCUUUAUUUCUUUAUUAAUUUCUCAUAGCAGCAGUAACCAGUCAGAUUCAUCAGAUAUAAAUCUACUGUUAUCAUCAUGAUGAUCGUGACACGCAUCUCUCAUUUAUUUCUUCUUGUGGAAAAGAAAACUCAUCUGCCCCAUCACUCGCAUUUAGCAUGUUUGCAAGAAAACAUGGCAAUGCAAAACAUUACCACUGCCUCACGUUAACUUUGCUUGCUUUGUUACUCAGAAGAUUACAAAAAGGAUUCUUCUCUUCUCUUUUUGCUAUUUGAAAUUUUGAAGUAUAAAGGUUUAUUAAAUAUUUUAUUGUUUUUGGUGAGUAAUUUAUUUCCACUUGUCUUUCAUCUAUAUAUAUAUAUAUAUAUAUAUAAUGUGUGUGUGUGUACACUUUUAAGUAUUUUGGUUUGUAUAUAAUAUAACGUUAGAUAGUAAGGAAAAAAAUUGAAGCGAGAAGGUACUCAGUCUCUAGGUCAGUUAAGUAUGCAAUUGUUUGGACUUUGGAUCACACAUUAUAGACCAUAUACGUCGACAAAAGUGAUUAUUAGAUAUUGAUGUUUAUAUUGUCUUGUCCUAAUAAGAUCGAUCUUAAUAACGCUCGAUAAAAAGUCGAUUAAUGAUCCAUUUGAGAUUCAGGUGUUACGAGAUGUCAUUGAACUAAAAAUAAAAAGACAACAUGUCAAUUAUGACAGAUAAAUCCAUAACGUAUCAUAUCAAUUUCAUCAUAAGAAAAUUAUUUAUUCAAACAUUUUCAUUACUGCAGACUGAUCUAAAUACCCUUGAAAAUUUAGAACUCCAAAUAAUUAUCAUCUAAUUAAUUUAUUACCCAACCCAAAUAACAAGCUAUCGUAAUUAUCUUUUAAUUAUUUUAUUAAUUUUUCUUUUAUAAAAUAAGAGGGUAGAUAAAACCUAAAUUGAAUUUUUGUUCUUCCAUUCGAAAAUAAAAUUAUUUGAAAAAUAGGAGCACAACAAAUAACCUUCAAUAUAUAUUUUAAAAUAAUUUUUUAUAUAAUUAUACUUCUCCUACUAUUUUAUUUUAUUUAAAAAAAAAAAUCUAUUACUAUUACAUAAAAACAAAAGCCCUCCCCCUCAUACUCAUCAUUACAUUCUAAUCUUGUCAUCUGAACUCCACUAUUUUUUGUUUCCAGCAUAAAACAAAUAGCCAAUCAAAGAAUUGGAGAAUUAAAAGAACAUAUAAUAUAAAGUACUGAAAAAAAAAAUAAAUCUGAUUUUCAUUGCCCGGAUCUCGGUAACAGACGCAAAAGCAAACCAUCACAAAAACCCAAAACGGCAUACACAAAAAGCAAAACGCUCAUGGAUAUGGAGAAAAUUUGAAAAAUAAAAAAUGAAAAGGGGAGAGAAUCAUUACGGUACGUUACAGUACAUUACGUAUGAUACCCACACGCGUGAGAAGAACCACUGUGACACACUGACAGAACGGUUUCGUUUCCUUUUUUUUAUUUUAUAUUUUAAAUUAAAUUAAUUUUUUUUUUAUGUAACGUAGAAAAGUCAGUUUGUUACUUUUUUUUUCUUUUAAUUUUAUAUAUAUGUAUAUGUAUGCAUGUGUGUAUAUAUAUAUAUAUAUAUUUUGUCUUUAUUAAAAGUUCAAGGGGCCUCGUGCGUGCGUUUUGUUUGUUUGUUGAAACCGUUUUACUUUUUUGGUUGCUUUUAUGGUGUGAUGAUGGAUGACGAUCUCUCUCUGUCGUUUACACGUGUGGCUAAUCGUAUCCGUCCACAUGGCGGGUAAUGCGAGCUCAACCUCCUGACAGUAACGAUUUCUCUUGCGGGAGUGAAGGAACCGAACCGUAACGAGAAUCGUGAACGAUGCCCGGGUUCUUGAGCGGGGUCCACCGGUCUAUGCUGUUUUUUUUUUCCAUUUCUCUCCCUCUCUCUCUCUCUCUCUCCAUAUGCAUAUAUAGGUCUGUAAAGAAUGGGAUCACCUUUAAUAAUUCUCGAAUUAUUAAUGGAUUGCAUUAUUAUGUUUAUAUUGAAUUUCAUUACUCUUAUUGUAAAUAAGACGUAAUUUCACAAUCAAGAAAUAGAUGAUCUUGAAUUUUACUUGACAUGUAAUUGGGACAAGUUGCUGCAAAUUAGUUCGAUCCAUUUACUAUCUAAUUAAAUUUAAACGGGCGGGAUUAUUUACACUCUAAUAAUUUAUACUCAGAACACUCAUUUUUUUUUAAUAAAAUUUUAUAUGAUAAAUGCACCCAUAAUCUCAUUUACCAUUAAGGACAUUUUAACAGUAAAAAAAUUACUCUACACAUCCAUCUAAUGCACCCAUGAAAUAUUGUAAUGCUCAAGUAUUUUAAAUCUCAAUAUCAAGCACAUUACCUCGAAAAAUUCAAUUAUCAGACACUAACCAAAUCUUUUUCAAACUCAAUCAAAAUUUUCCAUUUUGUUCACAUUAGAGGGACAUACAUAAUUCAAUUAUCAAAUCGCACGGUGAAAAUUGCUUAUUUAUUAUUCCGAUCCUUGGGGGAAAAAAAGGGGAACAAAAUGCUUAUUUGUUAUUCAUGAUUCGAGUUAAUAUAGUACAUAUAGUUUGCAAGUAGUGAGGAGAAUUGCCUUGGGUGUUAUGGUUCCAUGAAUGUAUUAAGGAACAAAGAGAAAGUAUUGAGAGUAUUUUAGAAUUUUAAUGAGUGUACAGAACAAAACUUAAUUUUUUUUUUUAAUUUUAAUGAAUCAGUGUUAGAAGUAAAUGAGUAUGUAGAGAAGUUUUCAAAGUGUGAAUAGUCCCACUCAAUUUAAAUUUAUAGAUCUCUCAAAAGGAUAACAUCAUUGGUUAUCCUAAUGAUUAAAGUUUUGGAUUAAUUUUUCCAUCAUAUAGUAGCAUUGAAUUUGAUCUAUAACCUGUUUGUGUUAUGUUGCUUUACCCGUUAAAUUAGUUGAUCUUUCUUAAUCGUCUUUGUUUUUUUUACUUCAAUUUUUAUUUUUCACUAUUUCACCUAACACAUGAUUUCGAAGUCUAAUCAAUUCCAACAUUUCCUUUCCAAGUCUAAUCAAUUUUAAUGUUUCUUUUUAUAGCUAAGUUCGAGUUAUUAACUGACCUAUAUGAAGUUAAGAGUUGUAAUAAACAAGCCAAAUAUAAUUUAGUUGUCAAACACUUUUUUAUUGUUAGAUACAAUUUUUGAGCGAUCUGUAUAUAAUUAAGAGUUAUACCAAACAAGCCAAAUAUAAUUUAGUUGUUAAAUACUUUAUAUAAUUUAGUUGUUAAAUACUUUUUUUAUUAUUAGGUACAAUAUUUGAGUAGGUGUAAGCUAUAGUAUUAUGUAACUUGGCCAUACUCUUAACUAUAUGAUUGUCAUUGACAUUGUCGGCAACAAAAUCAAUUAUAUCUUAGCUUUACGCUAAACUUUUUUUUUUUUUUUCCUUUUCAAUUUCCUCAAAGAUAAUAGUACAUGCCAAAAUCACAGAGCAAAAAAGUAGAACUCGAAAUGCUAAAAUGAUGGUGACUACUGAAAAUACCAGGGGCACAAACAAAGCAUGAAUUUUGGUUCGUGUUGGUGGAAAAAUCCAAGAACCUUUUUCUCCAAGGAUCAAUAUUAGUUAGGGUUUUGUUUAAUUAUUUCAUCUUUUUUCAAGCAAAAGGACAUGAAAAGCAGCCUUUGUUGAAAGAAAUUAACGAGCAAUAGGGCAUUGCAUUGCUAAUUUACAACUCCCUUUAUUGACUGGUCUAAAAGGAAUAUUGGAUGAUCACACAAGACAUUCACAUACGCAAAACAAAACCUGUUAUCAAACAGAAGAAUUAACAAAUCAAAAUAACAAGGUAGGUCCUUGUUUCUUCCUCCAUUGCGAAUCUUAAUCAUGUUUAGCAUCGACCAUUAACUAAUAAACCUUGUGUUCUCAUUAUCAAAUACAAACAUAUUAUAAACCAUCUACAUCUCUGUUAUCAAUAACUAACUAGGAACCAUUUAGAAGUAUUUCUAGGAACAGUUAACGUUGAACGGUAAAAACGGUUUUUGUCACUAGUGGGGUAGAAUUUGGUGGAUCCCGCAUCUUGGUUAAUUGUUAAUAUACAGGCAAGUUUAAAUACAAUUGUUCAGGCCCUUGCUUUUCAAUGUUAUUGAGAUUUUAGGUCAUAUGUUGUAAUUUAGUAUGAUAUAAUUAACCUAAAGGCGUGUACAAAUUUUCAGAUACGAACUAAAUUUUUUGAGUAUAUUAUUCCACAUUAGCUGAGUAUUGAUUUUGAUUAUGUAUAUAAAGUUUGCACCGCCUAAACUCUUAAACUUGUGGGCGGAGCUUAAAGUAAAACUUUGUAGGAGUCAAAUUCGAAGGACUAAUUUUUUUUUUGCCCUUCAAAUUUACACGUGACUUUAUUUUGACAUUAAUGUUAGUGAGAUAUUUUAUACUAACUAUCAUAUUUAGACUUUUUGUAUUUGUUGGACUAAAAAUAAAAUAAGCCUAGUUAGGGCCCAAAUAGAUUCAGUCCCUAUAAAGCCCAUAAAGAGAUAGAUAAAUGUCUUAGGAUAAAUCAACUAGGUGACAAGGUUUCAAAACCCAAAAGGAGCCAAGGUCUUAGGUUCCUAUCCUAAGACAAACCACCUAGGAUAAAAUCAACUAGGUGGCAAGGAUUCAAAGCCCAAAAGGAGCUAAGGUCUUAGGUUCGAUUCAAAGCCCAAAAAGUGUCGAGGUCCUAUGCUCCUAUCCUAAACAAACCACUUAGGACAAACCUUCUAAAUUUCAAGGUUCUUAUAAUCCCAAAGUCUUAAUAAAAAUAACCUAAGGAUAAAAUAUUUUUUCUUUUAAUCUGUAGAUAAGUUUGCAUAUCCAUACGUCAAUCAACAUGGGCACUAGAAGCUAAGUGUUGCCAAAUGUCACAAGAACAAUGACACUUGUCAUCAAAAUAAGUUGGAUUCAAGUCAAAUCAAUUUUGCCUAUAAAUAUGUCCCUCAUUCUCACAAAGGUAAGAAAAAAAUGGAUUAUGGGGGGGAAAUACUGACUUUCUCUCUCUAAUUUUCUUUCUCUUUAAAUUUAUAUUUCUAAAGAUCCGAUGAUUGACUUGUUCGUUGGAGGGUUUACGCCGUCAAAGCUGACUCUCUAAUCAUUUUCUUGUGUUUGUAGAAUAUCACUAGAUAAAGACAUUUUCAUUGCCUAAGGAAGUAAACUCAAAAGAGGAGCUAUAAAGGCCAAUUAAGAUCAGCCCAAAGGGUAAAUUCACCAUUGUUAAAUCGAAUAAAGAGAAGUCUAAGUCUUAAUGGGGUCGUCCUCAGUUGAAAUUUUCACAUAAUAAGUUGGGAUAAAAUUUACACCAACAGUACUACCUUUUAUAUUUAGACAUUUUUACCGUAACUCUCAUAUUUAGACCUUUUAUACUAACUUUUAUAUUCUAUAUAUAAAACUUUUAAAUUUUUUUUCAAACUCUAUGGGUGCUGUAUGGCAGUAUGGCACCGCCAAGCCAUAUACGUCCUCCGCCCCUACUUGAGCUAGGUUGUCAGUACAUAUGAGCCAAAAUAGGCCACCGACGUUGGAUCGAUGCGACAAGCUCAAAUGAGUUUCGCACUAUUUAAUCAUAAUAUUAUAGAGCAGUGACUAAGAACCUUGGUUUCGUAUAUAUCUAAGUAUGGAAAUAACAAGAUUAAUACCUUGUACAUUUCAUGAUCACCUAUAAAAAUAUGUAAGCCGUUAAUUAACAAAGUUUUGUUAUUAAGUCACUAUCUUAAUGACCCCACCGUAUAUUCUUUUGUCUAUCUUUGCUUUUGCCUUUUUUCCUCCGGCUGAUAGCUGACCCUUGUUUUGUUGCACGCAUGCAUGCAUGAACAAUUUGUGAUAUAAUAUUUUUGACCACAAAGAAUUUCUUGUACCGCUUGAUGUGAUUGAUACUGUUAGCUAACCCACCAUUAAAACGAAGAAAUCAAUUAAUAUAUAGUUUGUUAUGUUUGUGUUUAUUUAAAUCUUUGAUAAUUAAGACAAAUCUUAACGAAUAUUUUCUCUCUCUCUCUCUCUCUUUCUCCAAUUUACACUUGCUAACCGUUUGGUUACUAAGAAAAUGGUGGUGAAAUUAUCAAGGAAAAUAUUGGAAUAAUACAAACAUUUUUGUUGUGUUUUGAAAUUUAUGCUAUUUUGGUGCCAAAAAAUGCUUUUGGUCGAAUGUUUGAGAGAACCACUUGGCGCACAAAGCUUUGCAAUUAUCUUUGUCUCUUUAUUUAGAGUAGGCCUUUCUACACCUCUCAAAAUUCCUUAUAAAAUCACUUUCUUAAUGAAAUUACUCAAAUAACAAAAAAUAAAUUAAAUCAUUUUUUUCGCUUUGAAUAAAAAUUUGAUAGAAUACUUAAAUAAAAUAUUAG
rnacentral:lncRNA from 1 species